CCUCGAACUGGAUAGGUGCCGGAUUAGUUGUUCGGGUACUUUUUCUGCAGAGAGAAGCCGACGAUGAUGGGGGAAAUCACCUGAGAAGUGAGAGACUUUAAGGUCGCUCAUCCAUUUAUCUUCCAAGUCAUAUUAAUGGACCUACACAAAUCAGUAAGAAAAGAUAAUCCAGUUGAAAAGUGGUCCGAAGUGUUCAAUCUCAUUAAUCAAGGAAA